CCUACGGGAGGCAGCAGUGAGGAAUAUUGGUCAAUGGACGCAAGUCUGAACCAGCCAUGCCGCGUGCAGGAAGACGGCUCUAUGAGUUGUAAACUGCUUUUGUACGAGGGUAAACGCAGAUACGCGUAUCUGUCUGAAAGUAUCGUACGAAUAAGGAUCGGCUAACUCCGUGCCAGCAGCCGCGGUAAUACGGAGGAUUCAAGCGUUAUCCGGAUUUAUUGGGUUUAAAGGGUGCGUAGGCGGUCGGAUAAGUUAGAGGUGAAAUCCCGAGGCUCAACUUCGGAAUUGCCUCUGAUACUGUUCGGCUAGAGAGUAGUUGCGGUAGGCGGAAUGUAUGGUGUAGCGGUGAAAUGCUUAGAGAUCAUACAGAACACCGAUUGCGAAGGCAGCAUACCAAGCUACUUCUGACGUUGAGGCACGAAAGCGUGGGGAGCAAACAGGAUUAGAUACCCUUGUAGUC
rnacentral:rRNA from 1 species